CUAAUUGCAGGUAUUCGAAAUGCAAAACAAAAAUUAGAAAUUUCAGAGAAAUAUGAACAAAAAAAUAAUUAAGAGAGAAUUACAAGCUGUACUGGCGUCGCCGGAUCUGGUUCCUAUUUGCCCAUCACCACCAACGCUUUCAUAGUCUGUAUCUAGAAAUAAAACACGAGAAACGUGUUAGCAUAAUAAUUUUUCUGUUAAAACAUAGCUACGCUAGUGCCAUUUCCCGUCAAUGUUAAGUUCUUUCAAAAAAUCGUUCCAUAAAAUUUCUUGAGCAACUUUGGUUGUACCUUUCCUCACACAAGAGAGCGUAAUUUCAUAGACGGAAAUAAAAAAAAGAAAAAAAAUAAUAAAAUUAUA